CAAAGAAACAAAAGAAACUGAAACACCGUUUGUUGCUAUUUCCCGAUCGGGCCUCUCCGAUCUGAUUCGAUAUUCUCUCUGGUAGGCUUUCUCCGAGACCAACACUUCCUUUUGCUUUCUUCAUCAAAAGGAUCCCUGUCUGUCUGAUUAGGACUCGUUUUUGACUAAGAAAAAAAAAGGAUGGGGGUCAAGUUGAGCCCUGCUGUCUCCAAGAAACAAAGGACCAUUCACUGUCAGUGUCUCGAUCUGGCAAAUAUAAGAGAUCCUUGUUCAAAAAAGAUCUCUAACUUCUCUACAUGGAGUAACUUGACACUUGUGGGUCGUCAUGAUUUUCUUGAUUUAUUACACUAAGAACAUGAGC